GACGAACGCUGGCGGCGUGCCUAAUACAUGCAAGUAGAACGCUGAAGGAGGAGCUUGCUUCUCUGGAUGAGUUGCGAACGGGUGAGUAACGCGUAGGUAACCUGCCUGGUAGCGGGGGAUAACUAUUGGAAACGAUAGCUAAUACCGCAUAAUAGUAGAUGUCGCAUGACAUUUGCUUAAAAGGUGCAAUUGCAUCACUACCAGAUGGACCUGCGUUGUAUUAGCUAGUUGGUGAGGUAACGGCUCACCAAGGCAACGAUACAUAGCCGACCUGAGAGGGUGAUCGGCCGCACUGGGACUGAGACACGGCCCAGACUCCUACGGGAGGCAGCAGUAGGGAAUCUUCGGCAAUGGACGGAAGUCUGACCGAGCAACGCCGCGUGAGUGAAGAAGGUUUUCGGAUCGUAAAGCUCUGUUGUAAGAGAAGAACGAGUGUGAGAGUGGAAAGUUCACACUGUGACGGUAUCUUACCAGAAAGGGACGGCUAACUACGUG
rnacentral:rRNA from 1 species